CCUACGGGAGGCAGCAGUGAGGAAUAUUGGUCAAUGGGCGUGAGCCUGAACCAGCCAAGUCGCGUGAAGGAAGACUGCCCUAUGGUUUGUAAACUUCUUUUAUAGGGGAAUAAAGUUAGGCACGUGUGCCUUUUUGUAUGUACUUUAUGAAUAAGGAUCGGCUAACUCCGUGCCAGCAGCCGCGGUAAUACGGAGGAUCCGAGCGUUAUCCGGAUUUAUUGGGUUUAAAGGGAGCGUAGGUUGGUUGUUAAGUCAGUUGUGAAAGUUUGCGGCUCAACCGUAAAAUUGCCAUUGAUACUGGAAGACUUGAGUACAGUUGAGGUAGGCGGAAUUCGUGGUGUAGCGGUGAAAUGCGUAGAUAUCACGAAGAACUCCGAUUGCGAAGGCAGCUUACUAAACUGCAACUGACACUGAUGCGCGAAAGCGUGGGGAUCAAACAGGAUUAGAUACCCCUGUAGUC
rnacentral:rRNA from 1 species